GUAGUCUCGCACAGAUGCAUAUCAAUAAGCGGAGGAAAAGAAACUAACAAGGAUUCCCUCAGUAACGGCGAGUGAAGCGGGAAGAGCUCAAAUUUGAAAUCUUGAAAGGUCACCUUUCACGAAUUGUAGUUUAAAGAAGUGUUUUCUGUUACGAUCGUAAUAUAAGUUCUUUGGAAUAGGACAUCACAGAGGGUGAGAAUCCCGUCUAUGAUUGCGAUUUGUAGCUUUGUGUUACACUUUCAAAGAGUCGGGUUGUUUGGGAAUGCAGCCCAAAACGGGAGGUAAAUUUCUUCUAAGGCUAAAUAUUGGCGAGAGACCGAUAGCGAACAAGUACCGUGAGGGAAAGAUGAAAAGAACUUUGAAAAGAGAGUUAAAUAGUACGUGAAAUUGUCAAAAGGGAAGCGUUUAACACCAGUGUUGUUUUCUGAAAAUCAACCUCUGUUAGCUUUAUGCAUGCUUGUUUAGACCUAAUCAGCUAUCUUGUAUGUUCUAUUGUUUGCAGUGGUGCACUUUUCAGUUUACAGGUCAACAUCAGUUUUUUUUACCGUAAAAAAGUUAAAGAAAGGUAGCUCAUGGCUCCGGUCGUGAGUGUUAUAGUCUUUUUCCUAUGCGGUAGGAGAGACUGAGGUCUGCAGUGUAGGCUAUUUGGCUAGAUACUCAGGUGCUAUGUGAUACCAUUUCAUAAACAACUUGUUGAUUAUGUUUUGUCUAUUGCAUACUCGCUUGUACUAUCAUACCUACGCUUAGGAUGUUGAGUCGUAGAGCACGCAG
rnacentral:rRNA from 1 species